rnacentral:tRNA from 1 species
GGCCUCGUAGCUCAGUUGGUAGAGCAGCGGAUUGAAAAUCCGCGUGUCACUGGUUCGAUUCCGGUCGAGGCCACCA